rnacentral:rRNA from 1 species
UACGUAGGGACCAAGCGUUGUUCGGAAUUACUGGGCGUAAAGCGCACGUAGGCGGAUUUGUAAGUCAGGGGUGAAAUCCCGGGGCUCAACCUCGGAACUGCCUUUGAUACUGCAAAUCUCGAGUCCGAUAGAGGUGGGUGGAAUUCCUAGUGUAGAGGUGAAAUUCGUAGAUAUUAGGAAGAACACCGGUGGCGAAGGCGGCCCACUGGAUCGGUACUGACGCUGAGGUGCGAAAGCGUGGGGAGCAAACAGG